UCCGCUGAUGACCAAAUUAAUUAAACAAACUAGAGUUUCUGAUAAUUCUAAUGAUUAGAACGUUAAUCAUCGCUGAGGA
rnacentral:snoRNA from 1 species